GCCCAGCCCAAAGUUCACUGCUGUGUGCAAAGGUUCAGAUGCUCAUUCCUCCCUGCUCCACAGAGAUCCUCUUCACAGCAGGAAGCCUGACCAGGAGCUUACCAUGGAAUGCUUUCCCUGCUAAGUGGAAACUGGUUGGAGCCUUCCCAAAGGCACUGGUGAGGCAGAAGGUACCUGGAAUUUUCACCAUUCCAGUCAAUGCAACAAGGCAUUUUGUCUUGGAGAAAAGAGGCAAUUAUUUCUAUUGGGAAAGCUCCCAGAUGAGCACAUCCUCUUGCUCCCAAAGGCUAAGAUGGUCACCACUGUCAGUGAUCCAUGAAUUCAGACACACUCCUGGAACCAGGACCUGACCUAAACUUAAUUACAGUCAAAGGUGGAACUCCAGCAGUUGAUAAAAUAUGCUAAUCUACUAUCUUCAGUUAAGAUGAGUAUUGGAAAGAAGAUUUCAGACCAAAAAAAAAAAGACCAAAUUUCAGCUAAGAAGAAAUUUUGGAACUUUGUGUUUCAGAAGUGCCUGUGAUUCAGCACUUUAUUAUGGCUGGCAACAUUGGCACAGCUUAGGGGUAUCAGCCCCUUUUUAAAUGCAUAUUCCCUUCACAGUGGAUUCUGAAAGCCUGUCAGAUAAAUCAACCCUUUUCGCAGCAUUUACAUCCGUACUCAGCCUUCAGUGUUGCUGCAAUCUCUGUGGGACUUAAACGAAUCCUUAAAUGCUGCCCUUAGAGACAUUUUCCUGAGGAACUAAUUUUCUGGAACACGGCCUCUAAAUGUAUGGAAAACCAGCAAAGCUUCUUUGUCUUCCCAUUUCCUGAACUUCAGAUCAAUUAUAAAAACACUGAUUU